AUACCCCACACGUAUGGGUUUGAUGAAAAAAAUUUUUUUUUUAGGGAUUAAUGACGUAUUAAAAAAAAAACUACUUACUAGAUCUCGUUCAAACCAAUUUUCGGUGGAAGUUUGCAUGGUAAUGUACAUCAUAUAUUCUUUUUAGUUUUAUCAUUCUCUUAUAUUAGAAGUUACAGGGG